UACAGAGGUCUCAAGCGUUGUUCGGAUUCAUUGGGCGUAAAGGGUGCGUAGGUGGCGCUGUAAGUCGGGUGUGAAAUUUCGGAGCUUAACUCCGAAGCUGCAUUCGAUACUGCGGUGCUUGAGGACUGGAGAGGAGACUGGAAUUCAUGGUGUAGCAGUGAAAUGCGUAGAGAUCAUGAGGAACACCGAUGGCGAAGGCAGGUCUCUGGGCAUUAACUGACGCUGAGGAGCGAAAAGCAUGGGGAGCGAACAGG
rnacentral:rRNA from 1 species